AGAAUCAACGCUGGCGGCGUGCCUAACACAUGCAAGUCGAACGAGAAAGUGGAGCAAUCCAUGAGUACAGUGGCGUACGGGUGAGUAACACGUGACUACCUACCCUCGAGUGGGGAAUAACCUCGGGAAACCGGGGCUAAUACCGCAUAAUGUCUUCGGACCAAAUGCGUAAGCAGCUUGAGGAGGGGGUCGCGGCCGAUUAGCUAGUUGGUGAGGUAAUGGCCCACCAAGGCAAUGAUCGGUAGCCGGCCUGAGAGGGCGCACGGCCACACUGGAACUGAAACACGGUCCAGACUCCUACGGGAGGCAGCAGUGGGGAAUUUUGCGCAAUGGGGGAAACCCUGACGCAGCAACGCCGCGUGGAGGAUGAAGCCCCUUGGGGUGUAAACUCCUUUCGAUCGGGACGAUUAUGACGGUACCGGAUGAAGAGCACCGGCUAACUCUGCGCCAGCAGCCGC
rnacentral:rRNA from 1 species